GGGUUAGUAGGCUGGUCGUGCCACCGGUACGUACUGGUCUUUCUGAUUCCUCCUUCCUGAUGAACUGUAAUGCCAUUAAUUUGGUGUUGCAGGGAAUCUGGACUGUUACUUUGAAAAAAUUAGAGUGUUUAAAGCAGGCUAACGCUUGAAUACAUUAGCAUGGAAUAAUGAAAUAGGACGUUCGAUCCUAUUUUGUUGGUUUCUAGGAUUGACGUAAUGAUUAAUAGGGAUAGUUG
rnacentral:rRNA from 1 species